GAUGAACGCUGGCGGCGUGCCUAAUACAUGCAAGUCGAGCGAACGGACGAGAAGCUUGCUUUUCUGAUGUUAGCGGCGGACGGGUGAGUAACACGUGGAUAACCUACCUAUAAGACUGGGAUAACUUCGGGAAACCGGAGCUAAUACCGGAUAAUAUUUUGAACCGCAUGGUUCAAAAGUGAAAGACGGUCUUGCUGUCACUUAUAGAUGGAUCCGCGCUGCAUUAGCUAGUUGGUAAGGUAACGGCUUACCAAGGCAACGAUGCAUAGCCGACCUGAGAGGGUGAUCGGCCACACUGGAACUGAGACACGGUCCAGACUCCUACGGGAGGCAGCAGUAGGGAAUCUUCCGCAAUGGGCGAAAGCCUGACGGAGCAACGCCGCGUGAGUGAGGAAGGUCUUCGGAUCGUAAAACUCUGUUAUUAGGGAAGAACAUAUGUGUAAGUAACUGUGCACAUCUUGACGGUACCUAAUCAGAAAGCCACGGCUAACUACGUG
rnacentral:rRNA from 1 species